rnacentral:snRNA from 1 species
GCGCUCGCUGAGGCAGCACAUUCUCUAAAACUGAAUGAUUCAGAGAAGACUAGCAUGGUCCCUGAGCAAGGCUGGCACGCUAAUCCGUGAAGCACUCCGUAUGUUU